rnacentral:rRNA from 1 species
AUGGCUGGUCCGGGACCGGGACGCAAACACGAUAAUGGCGUCAACGACCCGGAGGAGGGCCCGGGGAGCGCCGGCGACGGCAUCAGCUCCCUGGAGCAGCCCCUGCUGAAGAAAAGCAACACCCUGACGGCCAACCACCUCGCCAUGGUCGGCGCCAAGGUCUCGCACAUUGAGAGCCUCGACUACGAGAUCAUCGAGAACGACCUCUUCAAGCACGACUGGAGGAGCCGGUCCACCGUGGAGGUGCUGCAGUACGUGUUCCUCAAGUGGGCGCUGGCGUUCCUGGUGGGGCUCCUCACCGGCGUCAUCGCGUCGCUCAUCAACCUCGCCAUCGAGAACAUCUCCGGCAUCAAGAUGCUCCACAUGGUCCAGCUCGUCCGGGACAAGAGGUACUGGGCCGGCUUCUUCUACUUCUCCGGCUUCAACUUGGCUCUCACGUUCGUCGCCGCCGUGCUCUGCGUCGUCUUCGCCCCCACCGCCGCCGGCCCGGGCAUCCCCGAGAUCAAGGCCUACCUCAACGGCGUCGACACGCCCAACAUGUUCGGCGCGCCGCAGCUCAUUGUCAAGAUCAUAGGCAGCAUCUGCGCGGUGUCGUCGGGGCUGGAUCUGGGCAAGGAAGGCCCGCUGGUGCACAUCGGCGCGUGCCUCGCCAACCUGCUCAGCCAGGGCGGCUCCGGCCGGUUCCGCCUCCGCUGGAAGUGGCUGCGCUACUUCAACAACGACCGCGACCGGCGGGACCUCAUCACCUGCGGCGCGUCGUCGGGCGUGUGCGCCGCGUUCCGGUCGCCCGUGGGCGGCGUGCUGUUCGCGCUGGAGGAGGUGGCGACGUGGUGGCGGAGCGCGCUGCUGUGGCGCACCUUCUUCAGCACGGCCACCGUGGUGGUUGUGCUGCGGGGCUUCAUCGAGGUGUGCCGCGGCGGGCGGUGCGGCCUCUUCGGCGCGGGCGGGCUCAUCAUCUUCGACGUCGGCGACGUCACCGUCCGGUACCGCCUGGGCGACCUCCUCCUGGUCACGCUCGUCGGCGUCAUCGGCGGCGUCCUCGGCGCGCUCUACAACCACGUCCUCCACAUGGUGCUCCGCCUCUACAACCUCAUCAACGACAAGGGCCGGAUGGCGAAGCUGGCGCUGGCGCUGGCCGUGUGCGUGUUCACGUCGGCGGGGCUGUACGUGCUCCCCUUCGCCGUGCCGUGCACGCCGUGCGACCCGGCGUUCGGCGCCGCGUGCCCGGCCACCGGGAGGAGCGGCAACUUCAAGCAGUUCAACUGCCCCGCCGGGCAGUACAACGACCUGGCCACCCUCCUGCACGCCACCAACGUGGACGCCACACGCAACAUCUUCUCCACGGGCACCCCCGGCGAGUUCCGGCUGGACUCCCUGCUCAUCUUCUUCGCCAUCUACUGCGUGCUGGGGCUCUUCACCUUCGGCAUCGCCGUGCCGUCGGGGCUCUUCCUCCCCAUCAUCCUCAUGGGCGCCGCCUACGGCCGCAUCGUGGCGCUCGUGCUCCAGAGCGCGGUGGCGGCGAGCAUCGACCACGGCCUCUACGCCGUGCUCGGCGCCGCGGCGCUCAUGUCGGGCUCCAUGAGGAUGACCGUCUCGCUCUGCGUCAUCUUCCUGGAGCUCACCAACAACCUCACUCUGCUGCCCAUGACCAUGUUCGUGCUGCUCAUCGCCAAGACCGUCGGCGACGCCUUCAACCCCAGCAUCUACGAGAUCAUCCUGGACCUCAAGGGGCUGCCCUUCCUAGAACCCAAGCCGGAGCCGUGGAUGAAGGACCUCACAGUCGGCGAGCUCGCCGCCGCCAAGGCGCGCACCAUCAGCCUCCAGGUGGUCGAGAAAGUGUCCACCGUCCUGGAGGUGCUGCGGAACACCGGCCACAACGGGUUCCCGGUGGUGGACCGGCCUCGGCCCGGCCUGUCGGAGCUGCACGGGCUGGUCCUCCGGUCGCACCUCGUGGCCGUCCUGAGGAAGCGGUGGUUCCUGGCGGAGAAGAGGAGGACGGAGGAGUGGGAGGCCAGGGAGCGGUUCUCGUCGGUGGAACUGGCCGACAAGAACUGCAAGAUCGACGACCUCGAGCUCACGCCGGAGGAGCUGGAGAUGUACGUGGACCUCCACCCGUUCACCAACACGACGCCGUACACCGUGGUGGAGACCAUGUCGGUGGCCAAGGCCGUGGUGCUGUUCCGCUCCGUCGCGCUCCGGCACAUGCUCAUCAUGCCCAAGUACCAGGGCCCCGAGGUGAGUCCAAUCAACUCCAAUGGCUUUCCGAUCAUCAACAACCUUGCACACAUUUGGAUUUGAUGAUGGAUUGAUUUUGGUGUGCAGAUAUCUCCGCUUGUGGGGAUCUUGACGAGGCAAGACCUGCGGGCGCACAACAUCCUCGGCGCAUUUCCUCACCUGUCAAAGAAGAGCAAGGCACACUAA